AUGAAGCCCAGCUUGCUGGGUGGAUUAGUGGCGAACGGGUGAGUAACACGUGGGUGAUCUGCCCUGCACUUCGGGAUAAGCCUGGGAAACUGGGUCUAAUACCGGAUAGGACCUCGGGAUGCAUGUUCCGGGGUGGAAAGGUUUUCCGGUGCAGGAUGGGCCCGCGGCCUAUCAGCUUGUUGGUGGGGUAACGGCCCACCAAGGCGACGACGGGUAGCCGGCCUGAGAGGGCGACCGGCCACACUGGGACUGAGACACGGCCCAGACUCCUACGGGAGGCAGCAGUGGGGAAUAUUGCACAAUGGGCGCAAGCCUGAUGCAGCGACGCCGCGUGAGGGAUGACGGCCUUCGGGUUGUAAACCUCUUUCAGUACCGACGAAGCGCAAGUGACGGUAGGUACAGAAGAAGCACCGGCCAACUACGUGCCAGCAGCCGCGGUAAUACGUAGGGUGCGAGCGUUGUCCGGAAUUACUGGGCGUAAAGAGCUCGUAGGCGGUUUGUCGCGUCGUCUGUGAAAACCCGCAGCUCAACUGCGGGCUUGCAGGCGAUACGGGCAGACUUGAGUACUGCAGGGGAGACUGGAAUUCCUGGUGUAGCGGUGAAAUGCGCAGAUAUCAGGAGGAACACCGGUGGCGAAGGCGGGUCUCUGGGCAGUAACUGACGCUGAGGAGCGAAAGCGUGGGUAGCGAACAGGAUUAGAUACCCUGGUAGUCCACGCCGUAAACGGUGGGCGCUAGGUGUGGGUUUCCUUCCACGGGAUCCGUGCCGUA
rnacentral:rRNA from 1 species